rnacentral:rRNA from 1 species
GACGAACGCUGGCGGCGUGCUUAACACAUGCAAGUCGAACGGAAAGGCCCUGCUUUUGUGGGGUGCUCGAGUGGCGAACGGGUGAGUAACACAUGAGUAACCUGCCCUUGACUGUGGGAUAACUUCAGGAAACCGGGGCUAAUACCGGAUAGGUGCUCCUGCUGCAUGGUGGGGGUUGGAAAGUUUCGGCGGUUGGGGAUGGACUCGCGGCUUAUCAGCUUGUUGGUGGGGUAGUGGCUUACGAAGGCUUUGACGGGUAGCCGGCCUGAGAGGUUGACCAGCCACAUUAGGACUACGAUACGCACCAGACUCCUACGGGAGGCAGCAGGGGGGAAUAUUGCACAGUGAGCGGGAGCCUGAUGAAGCAGCGCCGCGUGCGGGAAGAAGGCCUUCUGGUGGUAAACCGCUUUCGCCUGUGACGAAGCGUGAGUGACGGUAGUGGGUAAAGAAGCACCGGCUAACUACGUG